rnacentral:rRNA from 1 species
GAUGAACGCUGGCGGCGUGCCUAAUACAUGCAAGUCGAGCGAACAGACGAGGAGCUUGCUCCUCUGACGUUAGCGGCGGACGGGUGAGUAACACGUGGAUAACCUACCUAUAAGACUGGGAUAACUUCGGGAAACCGGAUCUAAUACCGGAUAAUUUAUUGAACCGCAUGGUUCAAUAGUGAAAGACGGUUAUGCUGUCACUUAUAGAUGGAUCCGCGCCGCAUUAGCUAGUUGGUACGGUAACGGCUUACCAAGGCAACGAUGCGUAGCCGACCUGAGAGGGUGAUCGGCCACACUGGAACUGAGACACGGUCCAGACUCCUACGGGAGGCAGCAGUAGGGAAUCUUCCGCAAUGGGCGAAAGCCUGACGGAGCAACGCCGCGUGAGUGAUGAAGGUCUUCGGAUCGUAAAACUCUGUUAUUAGGGAAGAACAAAUGUGUAAGUACCUAUGCACGUCUUGACGGUACCUAAUCAGAAAGCCACGGCUAACUACGUG